UACAGAGGUGGCAAGCGUUGUUCGGAUUUACUGGGCGUAAAGGGCGCGUAGGCGGCCACCGCAAGUCGAUUGUGAAAUCUCCGGGCUUAACCCGGAAAGGUCAACCGAUACUGCGGGGCUAGAGUGCAGAAGGGGCAACUGGAAUUCUCGGUGUAGCGGUGAAAUGCGCAGAUAUCGGGAAGAACACCCGUGGCGAAGGCGGCUCUCUGGGACGGUACUGACGCUGAGACGCGAAAGCGUGGGGAGCGAACAGG
rnacentral:rRNA from 1 species